UACGGAGGGUGCAAGCGUUAUCCGGAUUCACUGGGUUUAAAGGGUGCGUAGGUGGGCAGGUAAGUCAGUGGUGAAAUCUCUGGGCUUAACCCGGAACUGCCAUUGAUACUAUUUGUCUUGAAUAUCGUGGAGGUCAGCGGAAUAUGUCAUGUAGCGGUGAAAUGCUUAGAUAUGACAUAGAACACCAAUUGCGAAGGCAGCUGGCUACACGAAUAUUGACACUGAUGCACGAAAGCGUGGGAUCAAACAGG
rnacentral:rRNA from 1 species